CAUCACAAUCCAACUGGGGGCAAGGCUGGCCUCCAACUUUCGAUCCUCCUGCCUCAGCCUCCCGAGCCACUGGGUUGACAGGUGUGUGCCUACCACCACGCUGGACUCCACGGCCAUUUGACGGAGUGACAAACUGGGGAUCCCUGCAGCCAGCCGGAGCUUUGCCAGGGUGCUCCAGGGGGUGGGCUAGUUGUUCCCGGUGCUCCGUCUUCCUGUGUGACCACGGUCCAGCGUGACACCCUCUCUGAUCCUCCGGAGACAGGUGGUCUCCAGGAGAUGUCCAGGUUCUCCCUGUCCACCCCCAGCCACCUCUUAGGUUCUCCCGCCCUCGGAGCCACCUUCAGUGGGAAGAGAAGUCACUUGUGUCGUUCCAGAAAGGACGCGUGAGUCAGAGGCCGCGUGAGUGACUUUCCCAGCGGGGCCCGUCAUUGUGUGUGCUGUGAAGGAGACUCCGGCCCGGCCUCCGCCUUUCAGGAAAGGGACAAAAAAAAGACCCUGAUGAUGUCAAGGAGGUGACCUCUGGGGACACUCCGAGUGGCCAGGGGCCCAGGUGGCCUUGGGAGCUGUCAAUCACGUGACGGGCUCAGGGGACUUUGGUUCCUCUCCCAGGGCUGAGGCCGCGUUGGGAUUCGGGUGGCGACUUGUCCAGGCGCCAACCCGGGGAGGGGGGGGUGUCCCCGGCUUGUAUGGAGGGACAGCAGAGAGGGGCAGGUCCCCUCUUCACGGUCUGCUGGAAGGCGCCUCCCAGCACACUCCUGACCUCGGGAGAUGGCGGGGAACCAUGGCCUCCCCUCUCCAGGUCGCUGCUGCCCAGUUUCACCUUGAAUUUGGUCAAAACUUGUGAUGAAUGAUCGCCCUCCUCCGCCCUGGGCCUCCCCGGGCCCAGUUGGCACUCCAUAAAUGCCCACUGGCUUAGGAGGGGCCAAGUUGGCUCUGGUUAGCCUCCCCCGCUUGGUCCCCGCUGUGUGACGUCCACGGUGUGGGGUGGCAUCUCUGGGUCUUGGGAAACGCACGGACCCCGGCCUGAGGAGCUUCCGGGGCCCAAUUGGGUCCAGGACCAGGUUCAACCUGAAACCGGCCUCUGAGGACGCAGGUUCUCGUCUUUGCUAUGAAUUUGCUGUGUGAUCUUGGGAAACUCACUCACCGUCUCUGGGCCAUAGGCACUUGUCUGGUGGAGAUCAGGACGCUCACUCCAUUUAAGAGAUCCUUCCAUUCUUUCCAAGCCCUCAACAUUUAUUGAGCUCCAACUGUGUGCUAGGAUGGAAAUGGAAGACAGAGCUUACAGCGGGAUCCUUAGAGCUGCCCUGAACAGUUGACGUCGCCGUUUACCUAACCAACAUCCUUCUUCUCUUCUGAGUAAUAGGCCUCUGGUUUUGUUCAGGGUGGUGCUGUGUCCAAAGAACUACAUUUCCCAGCCUCCCUUGCAGCUAAGGAGCUUGUGUUCUGUUUGGGAUGUGGGUGUGAUGGCUGGAACUCUGCAGAAGGGUUAUGAGCAUGAGGACAAGGAGCACACCUGGAUGCAGUGUGGUGGCCAGUGCCCUGUGGCCACGGAGCCCUGGGUACCCGGCUAGUGUGCCCGAGAGCUGGACUUUUCAUUUAAGGAGCCACGUCACGGUGAGUG